rnacentral:tRNA from 1 species
GUCUCCGUAGCUUAUCAACUAAAGCAUGGCACUGAAGAUGCCAAGAUGGCUGCCACAUGCACCCGAAGACA